rnacentral:lncRNA from 7 species
UCAAAGAGUCAUUGUGUUGAAAGGGUCCUUGAAGAUGAUAUACCGCAGAAUGGUUGGGCUGCAUGGGAUCCCAGAGCCCCAGAGCCACAACCCCAUCCGGGGGCUGAGUGCUCCCCCCCCGAUCCGGACGGGCACAGUUGGCCACGGAGAAGGACAGCACCACUCCCUGUCACAGCACCCUGGGCACUGACCCCACUCUUCGCCAUGGCCACCAAUUCCCCCGUGUUCCCCAUGGGCUCUGGGGUGACAACAGCGGUGCCACGAGUCCCUGAAACAUCAGCGCCGGAUACGGUGGUGUUGGUGUGUGCCUUCACUGCUGCUUUCGUGGCCGUGGCCAUCGUGGUAGUAGUGGUGUGUCGAUGUUGGAAGCGGUGCUGCGGGAGAACAGCCCAGGACCCUGCAGCAUUGGAAGGGAACAGGAACGGUGCGGCGGUGCCCAUGGGAGCCCCGAAGAGCCCUGAAGACUGAGCCCGGCGGGAGCCCCGCGCGCGUCCCCACUAAUACAAUAAAGCUCCGCUGCU